rnacentral:rRNA from 1 species
GUGGGGAAUUUUGGACAAUGGGCGCAAGCCUGAUCCAGCAAUGCCGCGUGCAGGAAGAAGGCCUUCGGGUUGUAAACUGCUUUUGUACGGAACGAAACGGUCCGGGUUAAUACCCUGGGCUAAUGACGGUACCGUAAGAAUAAGCACCGGCUAACUACGUGCCAGCAGCCGCGGUAAUACGUAGGGUGCAAGCGUUAAUCGGAAUUACUGGGCGUAAAGCGUGCGCAGGCGGUUUUGUAAGACAGGCGUGAAAUCCCCGGGCUCAACCUGGGAAUUGCGCUUGUGACUGCAGUGCUGGAGUACGGCAGAGGGGGAUGGAAUUCCGCGUGUAGCAGUGAAAUGCGCAGAUAUGCGGAGGAACACCGAUGGCGAAGGCAGUCCCCUGGGCCUGUACUGACGCUCAUGCACGAAAGCGUGGGGAGCAAACAGGAUUAGAAACCCGGGUAGUCC